GGGGAAGUGCCGGAAAAAUUUGAGGAGCUAUCUCGUUGAUUACAAAGCAUGAAGGUGAUGCCUCAUAAUCCUUUGGUUCCAGGUUCGAAUCCUGGUGGGCCCACCA
rnacentral:tRNA from 1 species